rnacentral:lncRNA from 1 species
CUCUGAAGAGGCCACUUGGGAGACAAUAAAGAAUCAUGGGUUAUCUGAGGUAAUGAAGGUAUGACAAGAAUGAAAGCUUCAUACCAUCAAGCAGGCAAGAUUCCUACUGCUCAUGGGACAGUGUGACCCAAAGCUCAGUGUCAGUGCUGAGAUAAGAACUACAAGCCUUACCAGAUCCUCUCCUGAAGGAGCCACAGAAAAUGCCCAUGUAAAUGGCUGACACGUGGCAGAGAGCUCCAUAGCUUAACUGGAUUUGCAGAUGCAUAAAGACCUAUCUUCCUUCUCCUGCUCUGAACCCACCUCCAGCUGACUCCAGCUGAUGUCCUGCAGCUCUCAGAACAUUGCAAGGUACUGUCUG